CUUUAGCCCUGAUUGAAGCUUUGUUUGAGCUCAUUUUUUUGUUUUCGGCGCGGCGGCGAAGCCGCCGCGCCGAAAACAAAAAAAUAGCGAGUGCGGAAAGCGGGAAACAGC
rnacentral:misc_RNA from 1 species